GGGGAAUAUUGCACAAUGGGCGCAAGCCUGAUGCAGCCAUGCCGCGUGUAUGAAGAAGGCCUUCGGGUUGUAAAGUACUUUCAGCGAGGAGGAAGGCAUUAAGGUUAAUAACCUUAGUGAUUGACGUUACUCGCAGAAGAAGCACCGGCUAACUCCGUGCCAGCAGCCGCGGUAAUACGGAGGGUGCAAGCGUUAAUCGGAAUUACUGGGCGUAAAGCGCACGCAGGCGGUUUGUUAAGUCAGAUGUGAAAUCCCCGGGCUCAACCUGGGAACUGCAUUUGAAACUGGCAAGCUUGAGUCUUGUAGAGGGGGGUAGAAUUCCAGGUGUAGCGGUGAAAUGCGUAGAGAUCUGGAGGAAUACCGGUGGCGAAGGCGGCCCCCUGGACAAAGACUGACGCUCAGGUGCGAAAGCGUGGGGAGCAAAC
rnacentral:rRNA from 1 species